AAUACAUUAAAUGAAUUAAAUGAAUUAAAUAAAUUAAAUGAAUUAAAUGAAUUAAAUAAAUUAAAUAAAUUAAAUAAAUUAAAUAAAUAAAAUAAAUAAAAUAAAUAAAAUAAAUAAAAUAAAUUAAAGGGAUUAUUAAAGCACACGACCCAAGCCACUGCUCCCUUCGCUCUGAUUUGCCAAAAACAGGCUCAAAAAUAAAAAAAAAAAACCAAAAAGCCCUGAACAGGCACGAUUUUGGGUGAGAGGUUUUGUGCCUGACACAAACCCUUGACAAUUCCUUGCCGAGAUCCCAUCCAGCCCUGCCCUCGGGGUGAGGCUCCGAGGCUUUGGGGCUAAGGAACACCCCUGGAAUUGGGCAGGAUUGCCUUUGGAAUGACACAGAGCUCGCCAGGGAACCCCUCAGGCACUGAGGAUGCUGCAGAGAAGGAGAUUGGCCCCAAACCCUUUGGAAUCCUCUCAGGACGACUUCCAGCAGAGAUGCUCGCUCCCAGAAGAAGCACACGCUUAUUCCAGACUCACAGUGGUCACACUGUUGUGCCCCAGCCAACUUUCUCACGUAAACAGAGCGGUGCAAGAGCGGUUUCUCUUCAGGUUUUGUUAAUUUUAGCCUGAGAAAGUCAUGAAGGAAAUACCUCAGCAGCACGGGCAAGAUGGUGGGAGAUCCCUCCAGCCUGAACGAGGAGCCUCCCUCACUCCAGCUGAGCAUGGAGGAGGCCGGUCCUGGAGCACCUGAGGCAGAAAUUCCUGCCCUGAAGUGACCAGAAAUGGUCCCAGAGCUGCUGCUCGUGUGGCUCGGUGCCUUUUGGGCGAGUGAACCCUUCAGGAGAGGCCGCCUGAGCGAGGCAAAGUCGGGGUUCAGCCCUGGGAAGAUUCCAGGGAAUCGCUGCCCUCCAGCCCAGGCUUGCUGGGAAAAGGGCCAGGCUCAGAUUUAUGGGAUUCUCCUGGGGUUUCCCCUCUGAACUGCAGCACCAAGUGAGGGCUCAGCAAAGCCCUGAAUGUCUCGGUGCAUCCAAUUUGGGAGAGCCCCAAAUCCUGAAUUCAGCUGGAUCCUACUGAUUUCUGACAGAACCCCGCCCAAACUCUGUGGGGUUACUGGAGAACCAGAGCAAAAUCACUGAAACCCCAAAACCUGCUGACACUUAAACAGGUGACCCUCCAAAGUCUGGGAAAGGAAGGAUGGAUGGGCUAAAAGACAAUUUAGGAUCUGGAGGCUGAGGAGCUGCCGAAGCUGAAAACCUCAUUAGCACAAGGAAGGCUUUAAUGAGGUUUCCCCCAAUGCUGAAGAUGCUCCGCUGUGAUUUUGGUCCCAAACGCUCCUGAAAAGCGCCCAGGAUGGUGGCAGUGAGCUGCCAGCAGCCCUUGCUCACAGCAAGUCCGUUUUGGGAAGGUAGGAAAACCUGAUCUCAUGUUUUCCCCUCACUUAUCCCCGCUCAAAAAGUUGCCAAGCGGUUCCCAGAAGGAAGGAAAGUGUCCCCAGACUGCAAUUUUUCCGUCCAACUGGAAACAAACAACAACAAAAAUGGUUACAAAAAUACCAGCGAGCUCCUGGAUGGGUUGGUUCCUGUUCCUCUGCGGGAAGAGGCUGCUCAGAAGGUUUCCACUGUAAACACCCAGGGCUGGCUGUGCCCAUCCCACCCAGCCCUGCGGGGCCCAUUCCCUC
ensembl:lncRNA